rnacentral:hammerhead_ribozyme from 1 species
AUUGAGCUAACGAGUCCUAAAUAGGACGAAACGCACGUCCUGGAU